rnacentral:tRNA from 1 species
GGUUGAGGAAGAUCGGAACCCGUCUUUGCAAGCAGGAUGUCAGGAGUUCGAAUCUCCUAGGCCCCACCA